ensembl:snRNA U5 U5 spliceosomal RNA
AUACUCUGGUUUCUCUUCAGAUCGUACAAAUCUUUCGCCUUUUACUAAAGAUUUCCGUGGAGAGGAACAACUGUUGAGUCUUUACACAAUUUUUUGAGGUCCUGCCUAUGCAGGUCA